rnacentral:rRNA from 1 species
CCCGGUGUGAAAAACUCCGGUGGUAUGAGAUGGACCCGCGUCUGAUUAGCUGGUUGGAGGGGUAACGGCCCACCAAGGCGACGAUCAGUAGCCGGCCUGAGAGGGUGAACGGCCACAUUGGGACUGAGACACGGCCCAGACUCCUACGGGAGGCAGCAGUGGGGAAUAUUGCACAAUGGGGGAAACCCUGAUGCAGCGACGCCGCGUGAAGGAAGAAGUAUCUCGGUAUGUAAACUUCUAUCAGCAGGGAAGAAAAUGACGGUACCUGACUAAGAAGCCCCGGCUAACUACGUGCCAGCAGCCGCGGUAAUACGUAGGGGGCAAGCGUUAUCCGGAUUUACUGGGUGUAAAGGGAGCGUAGACGGAAGAGCAAGUCUGAUGUGAAAGGCUGGGGCUUAACCCCAGGACUGCAUUGGAAACUGUUUUUCUAGAGUGCCGGAGAGGUAAGCGGAAUUCCUAGUGUAGCGGUGAAAUGCGUAGAUAUUAGGAGGAACACCAGUGGCGAAGGCGGCUUACUGGACGGUAACUGACGUUGAGGCUCGAAAGCGUGGGGAGCAAAGAGGAUUAGAUACCCUGGUAGUCCACGCCGUAAA